GACGAACGCUGGCGGCGUGCCUAAUACAUGCAAGUUGAGCGCUGAAGGUUGGUACUUGUACCAACUGGAUGAGCAGCGAACGGGUGAGUAACGCGUGGGGAAUCUGCCUUUGGGCGGGGGACAACAUUUGGAAACGAAUGCUAAUACCGCAUAAAAACUUUAAACACAAGUUUUAAGUUUGAAAGAUGCAAUUGCAUCACUCAAAGAUGAUCCCGCGUUGUAUUAGCUAGUUGGUGAGGUAAAGGCUCACCAAGGCGAUGAUACAUAGCCGACCUGAGAGGGUGAUCGGCCACAUUGGGACUGAGACACGGCCCAAACUCCUACGGGAGGCAGCAGUAGGGAAUCUUCGGCAAUGGACGAAAGUCUGACCGAGCAACGCCGCGUGAGUGAAGAAGGUUGUCGGAUCGUAAAACUCUGUCGGUAGAGAAGAACGUUGGUGAGAGUGGAAAGCUCAUCAAGUGACGGUAACUACCCAGAAAGGGACGGCUAACUACGUG
rnacentral:rRNA from 1 species